ACUCAAAGGAAUUGACGGGGGCCCGCACAAGCGGUGGAGCAUGUGGAUUAAUUCGAUGCAACGCGAAGAACCUUACCAAGGCUUGACAUGGAGAUGACCGGAUCAGAAAUGGUCCUUUCCUUCGGGACAUCUCACACAGGUGGUGCAUGGUUGUCGUCAGCUCGUGUCGUGAGAUGUUGGGUUAAGUCCCGCAACGAGCGCAACCCUUAUGUUCAGUUGCCAGCGCGUAAAGGCGGGUACACUGGAGAGACUGCCGUGGAUAACACGGAGGAAGGUGGGGAUGAUGUCAAAUCAUCAUGCCCCUUACGUCUUGGGCUUCACACGUGCUACAAUGGUUUUUACAAAGUGCAGCGAAGGGGUGACCCGGAGCGAACCACAAAAAAAGACCCCAGUUCGGAUUGCACUCUGCAACUCGAGUGCAUGAAGUUGGAAUCGCUAGUAAUCGCGAAUCAGCACGUCGCGGUGAAUACGUUCCCGGGCCUUGUACACACCGCCCGU
rnacentral:rRNA from 1 species